CAAGGACGGGAUGAGUGUGGGCUGGUCUUUUUCAGCAAAAAGGCCCGGGGUUUGCUGGUUUGGAUCCCAGUUGUGGACAUGGCUCUGCUUAUCAAGCCAUGCUGUGGCAGCCGUCCCACAUAUAAACUGAAGAUGGUAUUUAAGAUGAGAGCCUCUGCCAUUUUGCCCAGCCAGAAGGACCUACAGUGAGUAGAGGAAACGUCUUCCUCCUCCAACAGCACCCUCCUCAGAAUAACACUGAAGAACUGGGCCGCCAACAAGGCAGUGACCGCUGCUAUGAUCAAGAAACUAGGGUAUCAGGAAGCCACUGUCCCACCUGUUGGCUCUGAGACCAAAGUGCCUCGGAUGUCGCCUAUGCUGGUAAAAUGAUGCAUCUUGAUAAGGUAAGAAGUGGAUCCUGGGAUGGUUUACUGCUGCAGCCGAAAACCAAAUCCCCACUACUGUUCUUGGCAGCAAAAGCAGAAGCACA
rnacentral:lncRNA from 1 species